UCGGAUCAGGUAGGGAUACCCGCUGAACUUAAGCAUAUCAAUAAGCGGAGGAAAAGAAACCAACAGGGAUUGCCUCAGUAACGGCGAGUGAAGCGGUAACAGCUCAAAUUUGAAAUCUGGCCUCACGGUCCGAGUUGUAAUUUGUAGAGGAUGCUUCGAGCAUGGUCUGGCCUAAGUUCCUUGGAACAGGACGUCAUAGAGGGUGAGAAUCCCGUAUGCGGCCAGGUGCCUACGCUCAUGUGAAGCUCCUUCGACGAGUCGAGUUGUUUGGGAAUGCAGCUCAAAAUGGGUGGUAAAUUUCAUCUAAAGCUAAAUAUUGGCCAGAGACCGAUAGCGCACAAGUAGAGUGAUCGAAAGAUGAAAAGCACUUUGGAAAGAGAGUUAAACAGUACGUGAAAUUGUUGAAAGGGAAGCGCUUGCAACCAGACUUGCGCGCGGCCGAUCAUCCGGUGUUCUCACCGGUGCACUCGGCCGUGCUCAGGCCAGCAUCGGUUUUGGCGGCUGGAUAAAGGCCCUAGGAAUGUAGCUCCUCUCGGGGAGUGUUAUAGCCUAGGGUGCAAUGCAGCCUGCUGGGACCGAGGACCGCGCUUCGGCUAGGAUGCUGGCGUAAUGGUUGUAAGCGGCCCGUCUUGAAACACGGACCAAGGAGUCCAGC
rnacentral:rRNA from 11 species